UUGGGGGAAUAAAACUAAUGCACCAUUCAACCCUACCAGGUCUUCGAAUGAAAAAAAUGAAACACCCACUGCCUACUUACAGGACCAAACAGAAGAUGAACAGAGCACACAAAGCAAACUGAAGAAAGUUGUAUCUUGACAUGGGAACCUACUAAACAUUUGCUACUCUGUGAACUCCACAAACUUUAAAACCUUCCAGGGCUAGUAACAUCAGUGGUUGCCUGAAACCAGCCUCUGACCUGCUGGAUUAGCCUCACAUUUGGGACUCCUCUAGAAAGUGCAUUGCAGUAAUGUCUGGUGAGAAUGCCUGCUCAGGAGAAAGGGACAACCAGAGCCGAGAGAAGAACACU